AACGAACGCUGGCGGCAUGCCUAACACAUGCAAGUCGAACGAGACCUUCGGGUCCAGUGGCGCACGGGUGCGUAACGCGUGGGAACCUGCCCUUAGGUUCGGCAUAACUCUCCGAAAGGGGUGCUAAUACCGGAUAAUGUCUACGGACCAAUGAUAUAUCGCCUUUGGAUGGGCCCGCGUUGCAUUAGCUGGUUGGUAGGGUAAAAGGCUAUCAAGGCGACGAUCCAUAGCUGGUCUGAGAGGAUGGUCAGCCACACUGGGACUGAGACACGGCCCAGACUCCUACGGGAGGCAGCAGUGGGGAAUAUUGGACAAUGGGCGAAAGGCUGAUCCAGCAAGGCCGCGUGAGUGAUGAAGGCCGUAGGGUUGUAAAGCUCUUGUACCCGGGAUGAUAAUGACAGUACCGGGAGAAUAAGCGCCGGCUAACUCCGUG
rnacentral:rRNA from 1 species